UUUUGAUAAGCCAUCCCUUUAUUUCAACAUGUGUCACAUGGAAAAAUUCGUCAAGUGCCUCAGGGCCAGCUGAUCCUCAUCAGGAACUAUCACUCGGAAAGCUGAAAGUAGGCAGGUGCAUCAAGAUCUUGGCCUACCAUUCACCCUCUAAUAAUAAAAGCUCCAGGAAAGUACAUGGUAGGAUUGAGCUUGUUUUCUCCCCAUGUGACCCGUUCUGGGAGUGCUGGGAAGCUUUAAGAGAUAGUACAGAAUUCACUACACAUUCUUUCCACCUGCCUUGGUGAACAACAGCCUUCAAGAUGAGGUCAACUCCAUCAGCCUGGGCCCUGGAGUAAGGACACAUGAGCCAGGAUCUCCAGUCAACUCCUGAUGGGCAAGUGAUUUAAAUAAAAAAUAAAC